AUUUGUUGAUUGUGGUAACGAAAGUAGAUCUAUACCAGAAUCACUCAUAGAACUUUCUGUUUGGAAGUCAUUUUCAUAAACAGAGAGAGUAAACAAUAUCUUGCUGUGAAAAAUGGCUGCACUCAGUAGGGAUACCUAUGAAGGUCCAAGAGGGCCACUUUCAAAGACAGAAGAUUCUGAAGAUGAUAUAGAUAUAGGUAGCCUCCUUGAGAUAGAUUCUACAAAGAAAAAAGGCUGGGAUGAUAAACAGAAGCUGAUUGAAAUUUGUCAAAAGGAGGUUGGUACAAUAUCCAGUGGAAAACGACCAUUGAAUAUUGCAAUUAUUGGUUCACAUGGAUGUGGAAAAUCUUCUCUUCUGAAUACUAUAUUUGCCAGCUUUAGUGACGAAAAAUGGAAAGAACUAGCAGCACAUGGAAGCUACGGUGGAUUGGGGAAACAGAUUUCACAAAAUUUGAUCAGUUUCAAAAAAGAGAAAUACUACUUCAGGAAGGGACCAAAUAAUGAAGAGGAUGAUGAAAUCUUAAUGCCAACAUUUAUUGAUAUGAAAGGCUUUGAAGACCAAAACGAUGAGUUUACCAGAGAGCUACUGAACAUUAUUUUUUAUGGAAGGAUGCAAGAAUUUGAAAAAUUAUCUGAUGUUUUAACCCACUACCAAAAUUAUGGCUUAAAUGGUUUAAAGACAAGAUAUAGUCAGAGCAAAGAAUAUUUAGUGAUAGACCGAAUUAUAUUUGUGUGUUCAGGAGAUCCUCUGACUACCCUUCCAACACAGUUAAUGGCAUGUGUGAGUGAGGUUGCACAUGGUUUAAGAGGUAUUCCAAUAUAUGGUGUCAUGACAAAAGCUGACAAGUUUAAUGGAAGAAACAAUCCAGAAGUGGAGAAGAGAGAGACAGAAUUCAGAAAACAUCUUGGAAUACCGAACAAUCGCUUUGUUAGGAUAAAGAAUUAUUGUGAAGAUAUAGAUAAGGAGAUGGCUUAUAUGUUUUCAGUCAUACCACAGAUUGAUGUUCGUGUUCUUAAACUGAUGACACAGGUUUUCAGUAAUGCAUUAGAAGUAACAAACCCUGAAGCCCGUCUAGAUUAUUUCUCUACAGAAUCAAAUAUACAAGAAGAAUCUAAAGAAGGCGCGAAACCAGUUCCGCCACGAAUACGGCCAGAUGCUAGACCAGUUUCUCCCAUAGGAGGUCAACAACCAGCAUUGGCAGGAAUUGGCUUUCCAAGCCUAUUGAUUCUAAUCACCAUCCAAGUGCUGUUUAUGGCCAUACUCCUGCAUUUUGGCAUAAAGCCAGUUAUAACAGAAGAAAAACUAAACACGAUCUGUGCAAAUUACGACUUUAUCAAGUCAAAACAUGAUGCUACAAUUGAUGGCCUCAAUGAGUUAUGUGACCAGAAAGUGGACAUUUUGAAACCUCCAAUUUAUCAGCUGGUUGGGGGGAUAGUGUUUGUUAUUGUUGUUCUUCCAAUGGUGCUUUAUUCUUUCUUAGUUAAAAAUAGAAAUUAGUUAACUUGUAUAACAUAUUUACAAGUACUGUUAACAUAUUUACAAAUACUGUUUUUCAGGCCUAUUUUUAAUAGCUUGUAUGGAAAUUUAAAGAGGAAAAAUCUUUGGUCUAACUGUAUCACUUGACCUUGAUGAAAUUUUUAUGGUUGAUUAACUAAUGAUGAGUUUUUUUUUCUGAUCAGACUUUAUUUCUAAAGCACCUUUUUUUAAAUCAGUAUUAAAAAAGUUUUUUGGAGUUUUAUAUAUUCAACAACACUUUGAAAAUAUGACUCCUUGAUUGGUUUUUAUCAAAAGCACUAAGAAACUUAUAUCUUAUGUUUUUUUUAUUAGUUGCUUAUUAAUUUAGUUUAAAGAUAUAAUAGAAUAAAGUUGGUACUGGAAAAAUUAACUUCAGAUCUUUGAAAAAUUUCACAUAAACAUUGUUUGACAUUUGUUAAAUAAUUGUGCUUUUUUCAAACCCUUAUAUUUUGUUUGGAAAAAAAACUCGAUGUUUUUCUGAUAAUAAACACCAACAUUAUCAGAAUCGAUAUGCCUGAACUAUUGUCAUUUGAUAUGUAGCAUCUGCUCAAAUGUAAGUCAGGACCAGAAAGCUACAAAAAUGACAGAAUAUGAAAAAUAUUCAAAAAUGUAGUCAGGCAUUCCAACAUGUCCAAGUGUUAUAGCUAAAUUUGUUUUUUGGCCAGUACUCCCUUGACAGUACCUCAUCCAAUGAUAUUCACAUCUCAGAAAAGAUAAUGGCUACUUUUUUGGACAUGAACAUUUCAAGUCAUGUGUGUGGCUGUUUGAUAAAUAUGCUGCUCCUCUGAUUUUAUAUUUCAAACUUUUGUUAUGAUUAAUUGUUGAAAGGUAUUUCUGCAAUGCCUCAUACAUCAUUAAAUACCGUAAAAUUAUUUAUUGAAUCAAAGAUAAAGAUAUAAAUGAAAGAGCUCUUGAAAAUAUUUGUGUUGCACCAUAAAUGAAUGAAUUUUUAGUUGGACAUUAAUAAUGAUUGAUUACCAAUAAUAUGCAUUUUAUUUUAAAAUUUGUUUUCAAUAGGUUUUAUUUUGUGGCAAUCAUAUGAAACAAUUUGUUUUAAAUGAAAUGAAAAUGAUCUGUGGCACAUUUUUUUCUAAUGUGUUAAACUUAAUUUUAACUGAUGCUUAACUAAAUUACUAGUUAAAUAUAUUGGUGUUUUUGUGAGGAUCUUAAAAAGGUUGAAACCAAUAGUCAGAGAAUUUAUUUUAAAGAAUGUAACGCUUAAUGUGAUAUUAGAAUUUCUUUAUAUUUUAUUUAUAACAUGUAUUAUAUAAUAUGUAUGUAUACCAGCAUUUCAACUUCAAGUUGUUCUCUUAGAGUUAUCUCCCAUAUAAGCAGUUCAAUAACAGUUUGGUAAAAACAUUUCAUCUGACUAUAUAUUUGUAGCAUUUGAUGAUGAACCACUUAGUAUUUAUGCAUUGACAUAAUUACCUGUACGAUUUAAUCCUUGGAUGUUUAUAAGUGGAAAACUAUUGUACUUCUUACUCAGGAAAUUAAAGGAUCUAGUCAUGUUCUGCUCAAAACUUCUAAUUGUCUUAAAGGGUAUUGGUUUAUAAUAGUUAUUGUUCAUAUUGUUGCCCACAACCAAAUUUUUAAGGGAUGUGCCUGAAGCAAAAUUAAAAAUUUGUCUGUAUCACAAGAUAACAAAUGAGUUUCAACUUUACAUACCUCUCAUCUUUAUACAUGUUUAAAAUUUUGUCUCCAUUAGAAGUUUUGAAUGCCAUUAACUAUCUAUUUAUUGAUAAUACUAAGUACAAUUUUUUCUGCAACCAGAUGUAUAAGGUUGAAUUUUCUAUCUGCCAGAUUUUCAGAAUUGAUUUACUAACCAUAUUUUAAUCCUUAAAACUUAUGUUCAACUAUUUUAAGUUGUGUCAAGCACAACACAGAGUCACAGUAGAAAAUUAUUGAUACAAUGUGUAUUGGAUGCCUUCAACCUGCUUGUGUGUCACGAGCAAAUUAAUUUUGUGGCGUCUAAUCUCACUCUAAAAUCAUAAAAUUAAUUCAUGUUUAUAUUUCUUGUUAUUUUUAUAUUACAGAAUUUUUGAUAGUUCAAGAUUUUCAAGAGAUUGAAAAAUAUUUAUUAUUAACUGUUAUUUGUUUAAACAGCAUCAUGGAGCUUGUAAUGUAUAAGCUUGGAAUGUCUUUUUACAAGGUCAAACUAGUCGUUUUCCUGGCAUUUAGUUGUGAGAUCUGCUCUAGAUAUCUCUAGCUAUUUUUUUGCGUCAUUUUAAAGGUUCAUUAAAUAUAAAUUUAAAUUCAAACAUACACAGUGGUGAUCCAGGAAUGAAGCCCAGAGAGGCCAAUUCAAACAUAAGCAGUAAACUCUGCAAUAAAAAAUCAGAAUAUUGCACUCAAACUCGAACUUUCAGUCAUCAGCCCAAUUAAAAUAAGCAGACCCAGUUCACAGUGAGGUGGAAAUACUAUGAAAUUGAAAAAUCUUUAUUUAUACAGUAGAUAUACAAAAUAUUUGUGUUCCUUUUCAUAAACAAUAAUGAUUUGAAAACCUAUUUGUCACUGUGAUAUCUUAGUAUUUGUAUUGAUUCCAAUAAUUUUUGAAUUUGAAAUGUUUUGGAAAUUCAACUGUGAAUUCAGAUAUGUUUGUGAUUACCUAUUUUCCUGGAUUGAGGAAUAAUUGAUAAUUUUAUAGCUACUUCCUCUUGUAGUUAGAAUUGAGAAUGGAAAUGGGGAAUGUGUCCGAGAGACAACAACACGACCACAGAGCAGAAAACAGCUGAAGGCCACCAAUGGGUCUUCAACACAGCGAGAAAAUCCAGCACCCAGAGGCAGGCUUCAGCUGGUCCCUAAAUAAAAAUGUGUACCAGUUCAGUGAAAAUGGACAUCAUACUAAACUCCAAAACUUAUAAAUGAACUAAAAUUAUGAAGGCCAGAGGCUCCUUAAUUGGGACAGGCGCAAAAAAUGCGGCAAAGUUAAACAUAUUUUGAGGGAUCUCAACCCUCCCUGGCCCCUAUACCUCUAGCCAAACAUAUUUACAUACACACUUAUAUGAAAGUUGUUUAUUUUUUGCUCACUUGAUUAAAUGGGUCACCUUUAUCAACAAAAUCCUUGAAAAUUAGUAGUGCAUAAAUAUCUAUGAAUUCACAGUAUGUAUAUUUAUGAUGUUGUAUUAUAAUUAUGUUCUGUGUUAACAAAAAUAUUUUUAUUGAUUAUCAAGAUUAUACAUUUGAUUUAUAUGCUAUUUUCAUUGUUCCCAGCAUUGUUUAAAAUUGAUUUUAUUUAUAUCAUAUGUUUAACCAUUGAUUUACAUUCACAUUAAUAAAAUCACACAAUAAUUUUUUGA